UUAUAUUUGAUGCAAAGUAUGGAAAAUGAUCAAAGGAUCAACUUACCAUAGAUUUGUAACAAUGAGAGUUAUUCAACCUCAAGUCCAACUAUCAAUAGAUUGACAAAAGGAAGACUAUAACUAAACCCAAGGUUGAAAGAUAUGAUUGGUUAAGUUGUUUGGUUAAAAAGGUAUAUGGACAAGGCACAAUAUUAACAAGUAAAUAAAUGGUUAGUGUAUGAUAUAAACAAGUUAGUAAGGUGUUAGUGGGAUAGUAUAAAUCAAAAGGAAACAUGAUGUAUCAAAUGAAUCCAAAAGUUAACAAGUGCACUAGACUUCAUCCACAAAUCAAAUGACCAAGUUAUUUGAAAUAGGGGAAACAUAUCCAUGCCUCAAAGUACCAUGGAUGAAUACUUGAUCAUCCAAUGGUAGGUUUGAAGUAUGGAAGGUUUUAAUCAACCUUAAACCAAAUAUGUCAUGACUUAAGUAGAUUUCAUUAGUCCAUAAGUUUAAGACUUCACAAUAUCACCAAAAAUAAUUCAAAUGUCUUGAAAUAAAAUAAAAUCAAAUACUAGAGACAAAAAUAACAUGAGUCUAUGUUCACCAUAUUUGCAAAGUAAUAAAAAUGAAAGGGUUUAAAAAUAAAAUCAAAAUGGAAAUAAAUGAG
rnacentral:lncRNA from 1 species